rfam:Zootermopsis nevadensis contig31785, whole genome shotgun sequence.
GCCACGGUGGUCUAGCGGUUAGAACGCUGGCCUUGUAAUCCUGGGGGCUCGGGUUCGAUUCCCGGCGGUGCCC